rnacentral:rRNA from 1 species
UACGUAGGGGGCGAGCGUUGUCCGGAAUGACUGGGCGUAAAGCGCGCGCGGGCGGCCCGCCGCGCCGGUCGUGAAAGCCCCCGGCUCAACCGGGGCAGGCCGACCGGGACGGGCGGGCUCGAGGGCGCCAGAGGGGGGUGGAAUGCCGGGUGGAGCAGUGAAAUGCGUAGAGACCCGGCCGAACACCGGCGGCGCAGGCGGCCCCCUGGGACGCCCCUGACGCUGAGGCGCGAAGGCCGGGGGAGCGAACGGG